UACAGAGGGUGCAAGCGUUAAUCGGAAUUACUGGGCGUAGAGCGUGCGUAGACGGUUAUGUAAGUCAGAUGUGAAAGCCCCGGGCUCAACCUGGGAAUUGCAUUUUGAGACUGUGUAGCUAGGGUGCGGAAGAGGGAAGCGGAAUUUCCGGUGUAGCGGUGAAAUGCGCAGAUAUCGGGAAGAACACCCGUGGCGAAGGCGGUUCUCUGGGACGGUACUGACGCUGAGACGCGAAAGCGUGGGGAGCGAACAGG
rnacentral:rRNA from 1 species